GGCCCCCCCAUCAGGAGCGCGCUCAAAUUCCAAAGAACUCCUCACCUGCACCGAAAAAUGGAUCCCGUACUUUCUCCAUAUCACCUUCAGACCUCCCUCCUGAAUUUCAGAACGCGGGCCAUCAUCGAGAACGAGGGAAUCACGUUGCUUCAAAGGCACCAUUGGGAUCGCCUCGCUAUCAGUUUCAGAAACUUCUCCGAAAGAAGCAACAGAGGAGGAGAAAGGAUCAGCAAACAGGCGACAAGGCCUUACGCGGCCACCCACGAGUGAAGCAGGAAGAUCAGAGUUCAUCUUCUUGAAUAAGGGAUGAAUGAAACUCUAUGCAUCGGGCACCCUAAAUAUAUGGCUGAUUCUUUCCUUUUUGGAGCCAGGAAAAAGGAAUCAGAUAUUUCCAAAUCUUCAGAAGAGUCCUUUAUGAAAGAAACGGCCGGUCUGGAAAAAGGAAAGGCGCCAGGGGAAGCAAUGUUUCCACUUUCUUCCUCAAAUCGACGGAUCCUAGUCUCAGAGGCUCCAUAAUCCCCCUAGCGAGAACUUCUCCAGCUUAUACGCAGAUUAACAUCAGAGUUCCGGUCCCAGCAUCUCCAGAAGAUAGAAGGAACUACUAC
rnacentral:lncRNA from 1 species